UGCCCUGUAGCUCAAUUGGCAGAGCGCCUGACUCUGGAUCAGGAGGUUUCUGGUUCGAAUCCAGCCAGGGCAG
rnacentral:tRNA from 1 species